rnacentral:misc_RNA from 1 species
UUUCCGUAGGUGAACCUGCGGAAGGAUCAUUAUUGAGUAAGGGUCUUUCUGGCCCGACCUCCAACCCGUUGUUUAAUUACCAUGUUGCUUGGGCGGGCCCGUUUCACAACCGCCGGAAGUCCUUGGUCUUCUCGCCUGUGCCCGCCGGUAGCCUUCUGCAAACUCUUGAUCAAUUGUGAUGUCUGAGUAAUAAAUUUAAUAGUUAAAACUUUCAACAACGGAUCUCUUGGUUCUG